GCCGAGGUAGCUCAGUCGGUAGAGCGAAGGACUGAAAAUCCUUGCGUGGGCGGUUCGAUUCCGUCCCUCGGCA
rnacentral:tRNA from 2 species